CAGCGUGAUUGGGGUCCUUGUCGUGGUGGCUCUGGGGGCCUCCCUGGGCUAUUUCCUGUACCUCAGGAGGACGAGGAGGGCCAGUGACCCGCACGGCCUCCGAGAGCACCCACCUCCAGCAGCCACACCUGGCCAGGGUCCCUCUGGAACCUCUGCCUUCCCGG